UUGGAGACUUACCUUGAGCUCUGUCCUUUUAGUGAGGGGAGAGUGCGGCUCAGGUAGAGAAAUACGGGCCUUCUACCUCCCGCUGGCCCAGCUCCGCCUCAAGCUGACAACAGGCUGACACACCAACAGCUGCCACCGUAACCGGGUCUCACCGGGAACUGGAGCAGAGGAGACUGGUCUCCGCCGCCCAAAGCGCGAUCCUGCGCACGGAGCAUGCGCACACGUCUCAACACUGCCAGUCAGGGCAGUGACACCUGCGAUCAACAGGUCCUGGGAGCCCCGCCCCAAUCCCCGCCUCGCCCCCGCCCCGCCUCCUUGGAGCGGGCCCCGCCUUCAUGCUCACCGAGCUGGCUCCGCCCAAGCACGCGAUUUCCCGGCUUUCGGGACCUGCCGAACUGUGUUCCCGCGGGGGUUCGUUGGGGCGCGCGAUCCAGUUGACUUACUCGGAGGCGCAAGAUCGCGCGAGAGCAGGAGCUUGACCAUUUUUCCUAAGGCGGGAGCGGAGCGCUGUGGCUUAGCUGUUGGAGAAAGGUGGCUGCAGUUACCAAGAGUAAAGACACCUGGAAAGAAGUUGUCGUCACUAAGAGUGUCUUCUGGAAGGCUGCUGGUCUGCGAUGGAGAAAACUGAGACUCAAAGAGAUUUAUUUUCCUUCCCAACACAGUAGUAAAAUGGGCAGAAAUGAAAGGAGCCUGCAGGUUGAACCCAGCUUUACCAAGGACAUUCUUACAUGAAACCAGCAUCUUGUUUCUUAAGUCAAAUGGUGACAGUGAUGAAUACAACGACUUCUAGUACAGUCUCUUCUAGGUUUAAGAUUACUACAAAAAUAUCAUGUGAUUAAUGGGAAAUUCCCAGUGUAUUUGUGGAAGAGAAUUGGUCCUAUCAAAUACUGGACAUCAGAGAUAACUGAGUUUUCCCCAGCAAAGGGGAUGGCCACACCAUGACUCAAUAAGCAGCUCUGCAGCUGCUCCUGCAAAUCACUCCGUUUCACCAUCAGUCUCCUGGCCCCAUAAGAGGUUCCGUCCAGAGGCCCGACUAGGAAACCUCUCCACUACAAGAUGUUCAAGUGGGCCACAUACCUGGCUUGCCCAACAGGCACAGCAGAUGAGUAACAAGUGCGUUUAUAGAUUUUGUGGCGCUCCAGCUGUCGCUGAUCUGAAGUCACUGCUACCAAGGGGCUGUCAGUCAGUCAAUAAGG